rnacentral:rRNA from 1 species
CUACGUGCCAGCAGCCGCGGUAAUACGUAGGGUGCGAGCGUUAAUCGGAAUUACUGGGCGUAAAGCGAGCGCAGACGGUUACUUAAGCAGGAUGUGAAAUCCCCGGGCUCAACCUGGGAACUGCGUUCUGAACUGGGUGACUAGAGUGUGUCAGAGGGGGGUAGAAUUCCACGUGUAGCAGUGAAAUGCGUAGAGAUGUGGAGGAAUACCGAUGGCGAAGGCAGCCUCCUGGGAUAACACUGACGUUCAUGCUCGAAAGCGUGGGUAGCAAACAGGAUUAGAUACCCUGGUAGUCCACGCCCUAAACGAUGUCAAUUAGCUGUUGGGCAACUUGAUUGCUUAGUAGCGUAGCUAACGCGUGAAAUUGACCGCCUGGGGAGUACGGUCGCAAGAUUAAAACUCAAAGGAAUUGACGGGGACCCGCACAAGCGGUGGAUGAUGUGGAUUAAUUCGAUGCAACGCGAAGAACCUUACCUGGUCUUGACAU